rnacentral:rRNA from 1 species
CACGUAGGGCGCAAGCGUUGUCCGGAAUUAUUGGGCGUAAAGAGCUCGUAGGCGGUCUGUUGCGUCCGCUGUGAAAACUCGGGGCUUAACCCCGAGCCUGCAGUGGAUACGGGCAGACUAGAGGUAGGUAGGGGAGAAUGGAAUUCCCGGUGUAGCGGUGAAAUGCGCAGAUAUCAGGAGGAACACCAAUGGCGAAGGCAGCUCGCUGGGACGGUACUGACGCUAAGGCGCGAAAGCGUGGGGAGCAAACAGG